ACAGCAGCAGCCGCGGUAAAACAGAGGGUGCGAGCGUUAAUCGGAUUUACUGGGCGUAAAGCGUGCGUAGGCGGCUUCUUAAGUCGGAUGUGAAAUCCCUGAGCUUAACUUAGGAAUUGCAUUCGAUACUGGGAAGCUAGAGUAUGGGAGAGGAUGGUAGAAUUCCAGGUGUAGCGGUGAAAUGCGUAGAGAUCUGGAGGAAUACCGAUGGCGAAGGCAGCCAUCUGGCCUAAUACUGACGCUGAGGUACGAAAGCAUGGGGAGCAAACAGGAUUAGAUACCCCCGUAGUCCCUGUCUCUUAUAC
rnacentral:rRNA from 1 species